rnacentral:guide_RNA from 1 species
AACACAAAAAUAGACAUAGACUGAAUGAUGCAGUGAAAU